GGUCUUAACUAGCAUUAAUAUAAAAACAGGUGCAAUAAAGAGAGCUGAACUGUGAGCUUCUUUUAUUUUUCAAUCAUAUCAAAAUGUUUAUAGCCAUAUAUGCUGUUCUCUUCUCUUUGGCCACAGAAGCUGUUCUGGGAGUGAAACUGGAGCAAAAAGAUCUCUCCAUGACAAAAGGGAAGGGCAAAACUAUACACAUCAGCUGCAAAGUGACCGGGCUAAGGACAGAUUAUGUCCACUGGUACCAAAAGAAAGACGGUGAAGAAGCUCUCAGAAGGAUCCUGUAUGUGAAAAAAGGAAGCUCACCUGUUCCUGAUAAUACCCAUCCUGAAUCAGGGGACUUUAAAGUGAGGAUACAGUCUGAUAAUUAUGAUCUGAAAAUAGAAAUACUGAAGGAAAUUCACUCAGGGGUUUAUUACUGCGCCAGCUGGGAGUACAGCAGUGACCACAGUGACAGUAAACAUUCAGAGUGUGUACAGAAACCCUGAUGAUACACAACCACAACAGAAACUAAUAUUUUAUAAUACAGCUGCAUUCAUAAACAAUGUUUUAUACAGA